GAUGAACGCUGGCGGCGUGCCAAAUACAUGCAAGUCGAGCGAACAGACGAGGAGCUUGCUCCUCUGACGUUAGCGGCGGACGGGUGAGUAACACGUGGAUAACCUACCUAUAAGACUGGGAUAACUUCGGGAAACCGGAGCUAAUACCGGAUAAUAUAUUGAACCGCAUGGUUCAAUAGUGAAAGACGGUUUUGCUGUCACUUAUAGAUGGAUCCGCGCCGCAUUAGCUAGUUGGUAAGGUAACGGCUUACCAAGGCAACGAUGCGUAGCCGACCUGAGAGGGUGAUCGGCCACACUGGAACUGAGACACGGUCCAGACUCCUACGGGAGGCAGCAGUAGGGAAUCUUCCGCAAUGGGCGAAAGCCUGACGGAGCAACGCCGCGUGAGUGAUGAAGGUCUUCGGAUCGUAAAACUCUGUUAUUAGGGAAGAACAAAUGUGUAAGUAACUAUGCACGUCUUGACGGUACCUAAUCAGAAAGCCACGGCUAACUACGUG
rnacentral:rRNA from 1 species